rnacentral:rRNA from 1 species
AAAAUUUAAAUAAAAAAUACUAAAAUAGUAGGUAAUUAUUUGUUGAAACUUAAAUAAUUUGGCGGUAUUUUAGUUCAUUUAGAGGAAUCUGUUUAAUAAUUGAUAUUCCACGAAUAAAUUUACUUAAUUUAUAAUUUUAUAUAUCGUUGUUUAAAAAAUAUUUUUUAAUAAAAUUAAUAUUUUAAAAUUAGUAUUAGAGUUUAAAUCAGAUCAAGAUGUAGAUUAUAGUUAAGAAUAUAAUGGAUUACAAUAAAUUUAUUUAAAUGAAUAUUAAUUUGUAAUAAUUGAUUGAAGGUGGAUUUAAAUGUAAUUUUAUUUAAUUUAAUAAAAUGAUUAAAAAUUAAAAUAUGU